GGCAUUUCUACAUAAUUAUUGAUCAACCUUGAACCAUAGUUUCUCAAAAAGUCAUAUAAAUGGGAGAGGAUUGAGGUAGAAGUAUGUGAUAUAUAAUUUAUUAUCUAAAUUUGGACACUUUUGUCUGGAAAGAAAAAGAAGAAAAGUAAAGAAAAACUGCCAGGAUGCUGGGACAAGAGGUGCACCACAUCCUGCUGGGGAAAGCAAACCAGAACAUCAGGUCAUCCUGGGUAGACACAACCUGAGCCAGUGAGCAACACUGCCCCCAUUCCAGCUGAUUUCUAGUGUAAUUUUCCAUCAUCUGCCUUUUUAAAUGUAGAAAGUCUUGAUUCAGGCUUGACUGGAAGUAUUAAAUGUCUACCUCACUUUUGAUAGGAAGAAGAUGAUUUUUCACCUAGUGGAGUCAUUGAACAGUGGUCUUCAAAUUGGGAUUAUUUCCAAGAAUAGAUUAAAAUGCCAUGAAAAAGAAAAAAUUAUAGAAAAGCAAAAAGAGCUGAAUGCAGUGAAUGAACAUCUGUGAAUGAAGUUGAGAAGGUAUAUGUGGGGCAGACUAGAAUUGCAGUGCACAGAUACAAGAAUGUUGCCUGCUUUGGAGCCAAGACUGCCUUCCGGAUAAAGGGCCCACAGAGAGCUGAGAGCUGUGUAAUACCUCAAAGACUGAAGAAAAGAGUUAGACAGCCAUCUUUCCUUAGAGGAUUUUGCUGCAGACAGCUUGAACUACCAGAAGGUUAUAUACUGACCAUGGGUAGAGUAAGGAAGAAAUACAUCCUUCGGAAAGGACAAUGAAGAUCUUUACAGCAGGGAGGUGAGGACAAAGUGAUUCUCCCUUCUGGAGGAUGCAGCAAAGUGCUGCCUGCCAUCUUGGAAGCACAGAGUAGCCUUCACCACACUCUAAUCCCAUCAGAGCCUUGAUCUUGGACUUGCCAGCCUUCAGAACAGUCUUGCCUCAUCACUGCCAUGACAGGGGGGUCCAAUGUGAGGAUUCUGGUGUCUAUGCCAAGCAUCUCUUUUCCAACGUAGAUCUGAUUUCUUAACAUAGCCAACAGCAAGUCAACAUCAGCUUUGCAGAGAAAAGCAGGGAUGCGUGUGCACAAAGAAAAGGCCAUGUGAGGACAUAGCAAGAGGGAAGCUGUCCGCAAGCCAAGGAAAAAGGCCUCAGGAGAAACCAAAUCUGCCAAUACAUUGAUCUUGGACUUCCAGCAUUCAGAAAUGGAGACUUGUAUUUUCUGACAUUCAACUUAAUCGAAGAAUAAAGCUUUAACAGUGGCAUCAGUGACAUGAUGAAUGAUGCAUCAUUUUGAAGUAAUAAUGGUUUUCCCAGUGACUCAGAAAUAGCAGUAUGUUCAGAUUCAGUGUGCCUGUUCAUGAGAGCUCUGCAGAAAUUGCACAUCUGGCUCUUUGCCUGUGCACCUGAAGUUAUCUCAGGAGAAAUUAUACAAAUUAAAUACAGACACAGAGAAGGUCUUUUUUAAUUCAAAGGAAAAGAAUAUAUAUUCAAGAAAAGCAAAAAAGGUAAGAGAAAAGGUAAGGGACUGUAGUGAUAUUAAGCUA
rnacentral:lncRNA from 1 species